rnacentral:rRNA from 1 species
GGGUUGUGAGGUUAAGCGACUAAGCGUACACGGUGGAUGCCCUGGCAGUCAGAGGCGAUGAAGGACGUGCUAAUCUGCGAAAAGCGCCGGCGAGGUGAUAUGAACCUUUGACCCGGCGAUGUCCGAAUGGGGAAACCCAGUGUGUUCCGACACACUAUCGUUAACUGAAUACAUAGGUUAACGAGGCGAACCGGGGGAACUGAAACAUCUAAGUACCCCGAGGAAAAGAAAUCAACCGAGAUUCCCCCAGUAGCGGCGAGCGAACGGGGAGCAGCCCGGAGUCUGAAUCAGCUUGUGUGUUAGUGGAACGGUCUGGAAAGUCCGACGGUACAGGGUGAUAGUCCCGUACACGAAAAUGCACAUGCUGUGAACUCGAAGAGUAGGGCGGGACACGUGGUAUCCUGUCUGAAUAUGGGGGGACCAUCCUCCAAGGCUAAAUACUCCUGACUGACCGAUAGUGAACCAGUACCGUGAGGGAAAGGCGAAAAGAACCCCGGCGAGGGGAGUGAAAAAGAACCUGAAACCGUGUACGUACAAGCAGUGGGAGCACCUUCGGGUGUGACUGCGUACCUUUUGUAUAAUGGGUCAGCGACUUAUAUUCUGUAGCAAGGUUAACCGUAUAGGGGAGCCGAAGGGAAACCGAGUCUUAACUGGGCGUUAAGUUGCAGGGUAUAGACCCGAAACCCGGUGAUCUAGCCAUGGGCAGGUUGAAGGUUGGGUAACACUAACUGGAGGACCGAACCGACUAAUGUUGAAAAAUUAGCGGAUGACCUGUGGCUGGGGGUGAAAGGCCAAUCAAACCGGGAGAUAGCUGGUUCUCCCCGAAAGCUAUUUAGGUAGCGCCUCGUGAACUCAUCUUCGGGGGUAGAGCACUGUUUCGGCUAGGGGGCCAUCCCGGCUUACCAACCCGAUGCAAACUACGAAUACCGAAGAAUGUUAUCACGGGAGACACACGGCGGGUGCUAACGUCCGUCGUGAAGAGGGAAACAACCCAGACCGCCAGCUAAGGUCCCAAAGUCAUGGUUAAGUGGGAAACGAUGUGGGAAGGCACAGACAGCCAGGAUGUUGGCUUAGAAGCAGCCAUCAUUUAAAGAAAGCGUAAUAGCUCACUGGUCGAGUCGGCCUGCGCGGAAGAUGUAACGGGGCUAAACCAUGCACCGAAGCUGCGGCAGCGACGCUUAUGCGUUGUUGGGUAGGGGAGCGUUCUGUAAGCCGUUGAAGGUGUGCUGUGAGGCAUGCUGGAGGUAUCAGAAGUGCGAAUGCUGACAUAAGUAACGAUAAAGCGGGUGAAAAGCCCGCUCGCCGGAAGACCAAGGGUUCCUGUCCAACGUUAAUCGGGGCAGGGUGAGUCGACCCCUAAGGCGAGGCCGAAAGGCGUAGUCGAUGGGAAACAGGUUAAUAUUCCUGUACUUGGUGUUACUGCGAAGGGGGGACGGAGAAGGCUAUGUCAGCCGGGCGACGGUUGUCCCGGUUUAAGCAUGUAGGCGGAGGUUCCAGGUAAAUCCGGUACCUUAUUAACGCUGAGGUGUGAUGACGAGGCACUACGGUGCUGAAGUGAUAAAUGCCCUGCUUCCAGGAAAAGCCUCUAAGCAUCAGGUAACACGAAAUCGUACCCCAAACCGACACAGGUGGUCAGGUAGAGAAUACCAAGGCGCUUGAGAGAACUCGGGUGAAGGAACUAGGCAAAAUGGUGCCGUAACUUCGGGAGAAGGCACGCUGAUAUGUAGGUGAAGCCCCUGCGGGCGGAGCUGAAAUCAGUCGAAGAUACCAGCUGGCUGCAACUGUUUAUUAAAAACACAGCACUGUGCAAACACGAAAGUGGACGUAUACGGUGUGACGCCUGCCCGGUGCCGGAAGGUUAAUUGAUGGGGUUAGCGGCAACGCGAAGCUCUUGAUCGAAGCCCCGGUAAACGGCGGCCGUAACUAUAACGGUCCUAAGGUAGCGAAAUUCCUUGUCGGGUAAGUUCCGACCUGCACGAAUGGCGUAAUGAUGGCCAGGCUGUCUCCACCCGAGACUCAGUGAAAUUGAACUCGCUGUGAAGAUGCAGUGUACCCGCGGCAAGACGGAAAGACCCCGUGAACCUUUACUAUAGCUUGACACUGAACACUGGUCCUUGAUGUGUAGGAUAGGUGGGAGGCUUUGAAGCGUGGACGCCAGUCUGCGUGGAGCCGCCCUUGAAAUACCACCCUUUAAUGGCUGGUGUUCUAACGUAGACCCGUGAUCCGGGUUGCGGACAGUGUCUGGUGGGUAGUUUGACUGGGGCGGUCUCCUCCCAAAGAGUAACGGAGGAGCACGAAGGUUGGCUAAUCCUGGUCGGACAUCAGGAGGUUAGUGCAAUGGCAUAAGCCAGCUUGACUGCGAGCGUGACGGCGCGAGCAGGUGCGAAAGCAGGUCAUAGUGAUCCGGUGGUUCUGAAUGGAAGGGCCAUCGCUCAACGGAUAAAAGGUACUCCGGGGAUAACAGGCUGAUACCGCCCAAGAGUUCAUAUCGACGGCGGUGUUUGGCACCUCGAUGUCGGCUCAUCACAUCCUGGGGCUGAAGUAGGUCCCAAGGGUAUGGCUGUUCGCCAUUUAAAGUGGUACGCGAGCUGGGUUUAGAACGUCGUGAGACAGUUCGGUCCCUAUCUGCCGUGGGCGCUGGAGAAUUGAGGGGGGCUGCUCCUAGUACGAGAGGACCGGAGUGGACGCAUCACUGGUGUUCGGGUUGUCAUGCCAAUGGCACUGCCCGGUAGCUAAAUGCGGAAGAGAUAAGUGCUGAAAGCAUCUAAGCACGAAACUUGCCCCGAGAUGAGUUCUCCCUGAGACCUUGAGUCUCCUGAAGGAACGUUGAAGACGACGACGUUGAUAGGUCGGGUGUGUAAGCGCAGCGAUGCGUUGAGCUAACCGAUACUA